rnacentral:lncRNA from 13 species
GUCCAUAAAUGGAGAAGAAAUUUACUCCAUGGUGGACUCACCCAUAACUGAUUUAGAUGAUGAGGUGUGGGACAUUUUCAGAUGAUUAUAUUCAGUUGCUGUUGGUAUCCUGGACCUAGCAUAGAACGUCAACACCAAGACAAAAGUAUGCCAAAUUGCAGGGUUUAUUGCCGGCAACCACGGAGGACUCACGUCUCUCCAACCCGUGGCAGGGAAAGAAGGGUGACAAGACCUUUUUAUACCGGGACAUGGAUGAAUCUGGAAACCAUAAUUCUCAGCAAACUGACACAAGAACAGAAAAUCAAACACCGCAUGUUCUCCCUCCUAGGCGGGUGUUGAACAAAGAGAACACAUGGACACAGAAUGAGAAGCAGUAACUACAGGCCUGGGAGACCCUGCUGCUCUGCCCUUCUGGCUUCAAAUAAGCCCCAAGAUGAGGAAUAAAUAGUAAUGUGAAAAAGCA